rnacentral:rRNA from 1 species
UACGGGGGGAGCAAGCGUUGUUCGGAUUUACUGGGCGUAAAGGGCGCGUAGGCGGUCAGCACAAGUCAGUUGUGAAAUCUCCGGGCUUAACUCGGAAAGGUCAACUGAUACUGUGCGACUAGAGUGCAGAAGGGGCAACUGGAAUUCUUGGUGUAGCGGUGAAAUGCGUAGAUAUCGAGAGGAACACCUGCGGCGAAGGCGGGUUGCUGGGCCGACACUGACGCUGAUGCGCGAAAGCCAGGGGAGCGAACGGG